rnacentral:rRNA from 1 species
AUGGAAGCAGUAACAAAGCUGCUACCCGACGACGUGCUCGCGGACAUCCUCCGCCGUCUCCCGCCGCGCAGCCUCACGGCGUCACGCUGCAUCUGCAAGGCGUGGCACGCCAUGAUCGACGCCGGGCACCUGCUGCGGGCGGACCUCCUUCCGCACACGCUCGGCGAGAUCUUCAUAGACUUCCGCUUCCUAGUUCCUACAGGUCUCGGAGCUCUUCCGUCCGUCGACCAGGACCGCGGUCUCCGGCGACCUCAGUUAUAG